AAAGGCUAGGAGCCAGCUGAGGAGGUAGGCACAGCAGUGGGAAACAAAACUUCCUGCUUGCGGUGGCAGGAGCACCAAGGGCCUCCACUUUUUGAUAUUGAGGUGGGUGAACAGCUCUGUUUGCAGGAUCUCAUUCCAGUUUUGAGGAGUAAGUACAUUCUUGUCCGGUCUUCAGAGUGAUGCAGUUUGGAAAAAACAACAUACCAAAGCAGUUUUCUUCCAUGUGGUCCUCCAUCAGCAUAGAUGUGUGCACUAUCUGUGCCCACCAAUUUACCUAGGUAUCACCUUCAUCAAGAGAAGACGGGGGAAAGAGAACGUUUUCCUGUUGAGAAGAGAAUCCUUUUCAACUUACUGAUUGAGAGGACAUGCUUUCCAUCCUAUUUUGUUUUUUAUUUCUCCCAAGGAUUGACACAGGCAGAAAAAAAGUCUAGAUCACAAAUGGCAAUCGGUCUGGUCAGCAAGGACUGAAAAAAAAUGUCACAAGUGCCUUUGCAAUAGAUACCUCUGCAAGCACACAGCAGGAAGACCAAUAGCUGGGAGAGAAGUACAUCCAUCACCAAUGGGCAGGCACUCCACGCUGCUCACUGCCUCCCAAAACCUGCAGAUGCAGCAGGGAGCUGUGGCUUCCAUCAGCGGAGGAGCUUUACUUAUGGGGACAUGCAGGGUCCAGCACUGAUCAUGUUCAAAUCCAAGUGAUAACUCAGCGAUGGCCCAAGCACCCACCUACAAACACUGCACUCUGCAUGGGAACAACAGGAAACUGCGGUCAGAGGGAACAGCUGCCUUAACUCACACAGAUGCUGGAUAUAGACACAGCAAUUAAUACUACAGAAAUAAUGUAUUUAAA